rnacentral:rRNA from 1 species
GAUGAACGCUGGCGGCGUGCCUAAUACAUGCAAGUCGAGCGAACGGACGAGAAGCUUGCUUUUCCGAUGUUAGCGGCGGACGGGUGAGUAACACGUGGAUAACCUACCUAUAAGACUGGGAUAACUUCGGGAAACCGGAGCUAAUACCGGAUAAUAUUUUGAACCGCAUGGUUCAAAAGUGAAAGACGGUCUUGCUGUCACUUAUAGAUGGAUCCGCGCUGCAUUAGCUAGUUGGUAAGGUAACGGCUUACCAAGGCAACGAUGCAUAGCCGACCUGAGAGGGUGAUCGGCCACACUGGAACUGAGACACGGUCCAGACUCCUACGGGAGGCAGCAGUAGGGAAUCUUCCGCAAUGGGCGAAAGCCUGACGGAGCAACGCCGCGUGAGUGAUGAAGGUCUUCGGAUCGUAAAACUCUGUUAUUAGGGAAGAACAUAUGUGUAAGUAACUGUGAACAUCUUGACGGUACCUAAUCAGAAAGCCACGGCUAACUGCGUG